UGGUUCUGGCAUCGAUGAAGAACGCAGCGAAAUGCGAUAAGUAAUGUGAAUUGCAGAAUUCAGUGAAUCAUCGAAUCUUUGAACGCACAUCGCGCCCUUUGGUAUUCCGAGGGGCAUGCCUGUUCGAGCGUCAUUACACCACUCAAGCCUGGCUUGGUAUUGGGCGACGGGAUCCCCCCGCGCCUCAAUUUGACCGGCUGGACCGACCGAUCCUCAGCGUUGUGGCAAUCAAUUCGCUAGGGGGAGGUUGGGACGCGCCGUUAAACAUUCAUCAAAGGUUGACCUCGGAUCAGGUAGGGAUACCCGCUGA
rnacentral:misc_RNA from 1 species